CAGCAUCUCUUGCCAUCUCGCCUCUCUUCCCAGUUCAACAGUGUUGGACAACUCGAGAAAUUCAGGUUGGCCAGGAAGGCUACAGAAGCCGACCCUGGAUGACUUAAAUAAAAAAAGAAGAGUGAAUUGAAUGAAUGCGUCAAUUCACAGUCAUGAUGGCAAAACCGAAGAACAGGUUGAGAGGAUGGUCGGAGCCAUGGGAGAGAAAGGCGGUCAGAAUCACAACACAAAUCAGACCACAGUGCAGCCUGAGACAUCAGAAAGAAUCUCUACUGCUCUCGCUUCUCUGUCGCCGCCUCCAGAGUCAAAGCCCCAGGGGAAACAGCCAACUGGCCCCAGUUCCCAUGAAGUGAGGUAGGGUAAGACAAUUUGCCUUUUUUUUUUUUUACCUUCUGGAAUGAGAGA
rnacentral:lncRNA from 1 species